UUGCUGUCAGUUGCCAACGGUCCGGCCGGGCACUCUGACGGGACUGCCGGCGACAAGUCGGAGGAAGGCGGGGACGACGUCAAAUCAUCAUGCCCCUUAUGUUCUGGGCUACACACGUACUACAAUGGCCGGUACAAAGAGUUGCGAUACCGCGAGGUGGAGCUAAUCUCAUAAAGCCGGUCUCAGUUCGGAUUGGAGUCUGCAACUCGACUCCAUGAAGUUGGAAUCGCUAGUAAUCGCGGAUCAGCAUGCCGCGGUGAAUACGUUCCCGGGCCUU
rnacentral:rRNA from 1 species